rnacentral:rRNA from 1 species
UGACUCCUUGAGAGUCCUGAAGGAAUGUUGAAGACGACGACGUUGAUAGGCCGGGUGUGUAAGCGCAGCGAUGCGUUGAGCUAACCGGUACUAAUGAACCGUGAGGCUUAACCUU